CAAGGUUUCCGUAGGUGAACCUGCGGAAGGAUCAUUGUCGAAGCCUAGAAAGCACGACCGUGGACAUGUUGUUAAUCGUGGAUGCACUUGGGUCCUUCGGGUACUCCAUUUGCCUUCCCCUCGGUCGGUGAUGAGCCUUGCGCCCAUCGCUGAUCGAAACGAAUGAACCCCGGCGCGGAUCGCGCCAAGGAAUCGAAACCGAAAGAGCUUGGCUCGGUGGCCCGUGCUCGGGUGCCAGGGCCAUAGCUCUAUUCAAAAUACC
rnacentral:misc_RNA from 1 species